AGAACGAACGCUGGCGGCGUGCUUAAGACAUGCAAGUCGUACGGAAAGGCCCCUUCGGGGGUACUCGAGUGGCGCACGGGUGAGUAACGCGUGGGUAAUCUGCCUUUGGGUCUGGGACAACCCCGGGAAACUGGGGCUAAUACCGGAUAAGACUACGACGUCUUCGGACGAUGUGGAAAAAGAUGGCCUCUCGUAGAAGCUAUCGCCCGCCGAUGAGCCCGCGUCCCAUUAGCUUGUUGGUGAGGUAACGGCUCACCAAGGCAUCGAUGGGUAGCUGGUCUGAGAGGAUGAUCAGCCACACUGGAACUGAGACACGGUCCAGACUCCUACGGGAGGCAGCAGUCGGGAAUCUUGGGCAAUGGGCGAAAGCCUGACCCAGCAACGCCGCGUGAGGGAUGAAGGCCUUCGGGUCGUAAACCUCUGUCGGGAGGGAAGAACGGUGACGUUUCUAAUAGGCUCGUCACCUGACGGUACCUCCAAAGGAAGCACCGGCUAACUCCGUGCCAGCAGCCGCGGUAAUACGGAGGGUGCAAGCGUUGUUCGGAAUCACUGGGCGUAAAGCGCGUGUAGGCGGCUUGGCAAGUCGAAUGUGAAAGCCCGGGGCCCAACCCCGGAAUUGCAUUCGAAACUGCCUGGCUAGAGUCUCGGAGAGGAAGGCAGAAUUCCCGGUGUAGGGGUGAAAUCCGUAGAUAUCGGGAGGAAUACCAGUGGCGAAGGCGGCCUUCUGGACGAUGACUGACGCUGAGACGCGAAAGCGUGGGGAGCAAACAGGAUUAGAUACCCUGGUAGUCCACGCCGUAAACGUUGUGAGCUAGGUGUCACGGGUAUUGACCCCUGUGGUGCCGUCGUUAACGCAUUUAGCUCACCGCCUGGGGAGUACGGUCGCAAGACUA
rnacentral:rRNA from 1 species